UGCAUUUUUACCUAGGUGGAGAAAUGAGCUAGAAUCUAAAUAGUAGAUGUCUAAGCAUCGUGAUGUGAAGAAUCUAGAGCCUGACUGAUUCAGUCACCACUGAAGCUCCACCAGUGCUGAGUCACCAUUUCUUACAUAAAUCAGCACAGUGGACAUCCUUUGACUCACCCGGUGGCAUGUCACAGCACAGGACUUGUCCUUAGAACAUGUCUAGGCAACUGGACUGAUAUCUGUUUUGUUUCCUUUUCCUUCUACCCUGAAUGCCAAACUGGAGCAAAACAUGCUGAACAGAUUACUCCAAUAACAACAAGAUGGGUCAGGAACCAUGAACUAUGAACUGUUGCCAACUAAUCUAUCAUCCUGGUAUGAAAUGCUAUCAUUGGGUCUCCAACAUGGCAGGGUUAAGAAGAAAUUUCCUCCCAUCUCCCAUGGAGACGACAACCCAGAGCCUGACCAGAGGACUCAGAGAACUCAACAACUUUUCCUGUGGCAAAGGGAACAACGAUGACUAACCCAAGACCAUCUAGAUAUAAUCUGUGGAACAACUUGAUUGUCAAAAUUGUAUUGUAUGUUGGGUCCCCAAAACUAACAUUCUAUACCCUUAGCUAAAAGUGAAGACUGAGAAAAACAAGCAAACAAACAAAAAACAAACUAAAACAAAACAAAAGCAAACCUCCUGGUAUGUGUACAAUUUGCCUGCCUACUCCCCACCAUGUUCUGCUGAAUGUGAGGAGUGCUGUGGAGCACUACAUCCAAGGGACUCUGUGGCAGACAGAGCAAGAGAAAAGCAAGACUAUUCCAUGGUCAAGUCUUACUGUGCACUGCCAGUCAAGGAAAUAAAAUAUCUAGGAGUGAAGCUCACACAGGAGGUGAAAGAUUCUACAAUGAAGACUUUAAAUCUUUGUAGAAGAAAGAGAUUCAGAAAGACCCCAGAAAAAGGAAAGAUCAGCUGCGCUCACAGAUUGGUAGCAUUAAUAGUGUGAAAACGACACUUCUAACAAAAGCAAUUUACAGAUUCAACACAAUGUCAAUAAAAAUCCCCACAACAUUCUUGCUAGAAAGGGCAAUAGCAGGGUAGAUGUGAAAUGAAGAAAUAAAUGGGGAAAAUAGUGAGGGGCUUUAAUUGGAUGCAAUAAUGUUAUUUUCUGAAAACAGCUUUUACCUUCAAAGAUAAUGAACUUCUAAUAGACCUCACAACCAAAUUACUAACAGGCCUCCAGAUCAUUUAAGAAUAUAUAUAUUCGACUUAUCCUACAGUGUAGUCAGUCUGUUGAACUUGGCUUUAUACAAAUGAUGUAAAUAAAAUUAGCAUGUCCUGUAAUUUCCAUAUACUCAGCUUUUAUAGCCUAAGAAAAAUGCAUAGCUCUAACCUUAAACUGUGUAUUUCCAUGUACCUGCCCCAGAAAUGUGUGUGUGUGUGUGUGUGUGUGUGUGUGU
rnacentral:lncRNA from 1 species